CUUUGGAGCAUUAAAAGGAUCAUGAUUUAGGGUGUUAAAAGGAUCAUCUUUUGGAGCAUUACAUUUGUCACUCUUUGAUGCAUUAAAUGGAUCCUCCUUUGGGGUGUUGAAGGGAUCAUCCUUUGGGGUGUUGAAGGGAUCAUCCUUUGGGGUGUUGAAGUUGUUGAAGGGAUCAUCCUUUGGGGCGUUGAAGGGAUCAUCCUUUGGGUUGUUGAAAGGAUCAUCCUUCGGGGCGUUGAAGGGAUCAUCCUUUGGGGUGUUGAA